rnacentral:rRNA from 1 species
UACGUAGGGGGCAAGCGUUAUCCGGAAUUACUGGGUGUAAAGGGUGAGUAGGCGGUUUGUGAAGUCAUAUGUGAAAGCCCGAUGCUUAACAUCGGGACUGCAUAAGAAACUCAUGGACUAGAGUACAGGAGAGGUAAGCGGAAUUCCUAGUGUAGCGGUGAAAUGCGUAGAUAUUAGGAAGAACACCAGUGGCGAAGGCGGCUUACUGGACUGAAACUGACGCUGAGUCACGAAAGCGUGGGGAGCAAACAGG